UACGAGGGGGGCGAGCGUUGUUCGGAAUUACUGGGCGUAAAGGGUUCGUAGGCGGUGUGGCAAGUCGGGAGUGAAAUCUCUGGGCUUAACUCAGAGGCUGCUUCCGAAACUGCCGUGCUAGAGUGCGGGAGAGGCGAGUGGAAUUGCAGGUGUAGCGGUGAAAUGCGUAGAUAUCUGCAGGAACACCCGUGGCGAAGGCGGCUCGCUGGACCGCAACUGACGCUGAGGAACGAAAGCUAGGGGAGCAAACAGG
rnacentral:rRNA from 1 species